CCCUUAGAUGUUCUGGGCAGCACGCGCGCUACAAUGGUCUUCGCAAACGGAUGCAUUCUCGAAGGAGAAUGCCAAUCUUGGAAUCUAUGCCUUGGUCGGGACAGUUGCUUGCAAUUUUUCGACUCGAACCAGGAAUUCCUUGUAAUCGUGAUUCAUCACAUCACGAUGAAUACGUCCCUGCCCUUUGUACACACCGCCCGUCGCUCCUACCGAUCGAAGAGUUAGGUGAAUUGUUUUGAUCGAUAAGAUUUGACUAUAGUCAACUCUCGUUGUGAAAUUCUGUGAAUCUGACUGUUUAGAGGAAGGAAAAGUCGUAACA
rnacentral:rRNA from 1 species